CAUUAUCUAUUUGCUUAGAGGCUAGUCAUGUGCUUAAAGUGAGAGGAGCGAGGGGGAUUAGGGAGUGAUUACUCUUUUCUCUUGAUUUCUUCAUCUUUAGUGGGUGGAUGAAGGGAGGAGGCUAGUCCUCAUCUUGUAUAGAAGAGGUUCUCGUGAUUUAGCUUUAUUUGUUGUCUCAAAUCGUGCUAAAUCUUUAAUUCCCGAGCGUUUUUCUUUUUCCCUAUUUUCGGAACUAUUUUUGGAGAAUUUUCGUUCAUCAUGUUUGAGCCCGAAUCUCGUGAGAUUGGUUGAAGGGAAAUGUUACUAGGACCUUGGAGAGCAUUCGUGAUAUGAUCCCCUUUCAAAUCCCUCACGAAUCCGGUUUGAUUUUGAGUUUUUCCCAAAUCGCGUUCUUGAGUUAGGGUUUCGGUUUUCUCCAAAAUCCGUGAUGGAUACUUGAGCUUUUUGAGAUCUUUUUCAUGGAUCUAUUCGCACUUGUGGUUGCGCAUCUAUAGCUCAAGUUUUGUCUCGAUUCAUGGAAUUUUGAGGGAGUAUUUUUAGUUUGAAGCUUGAGUGGUGUUCUUGGAGUUCUUGUUUUCCCUCUGUCUGUUCGUGCGCAGGAACAGGGAAGCGAGGCAGCGAGCGAGCCAGAGCAGCGAGUAGCACGUGCACGCGGGCCAGCUACAGCAGGCCCAGCAAGGCGGCCCAGCAGGUAGAUAGGUGCAGCAGUGCACUAGGCCCAGCUUCGCCAGGUAGCAGCCCAGGACGCGAAGCAGGCCAGCUAGCAGGCCAUCUGGGCAUUCGAGCAAAGCAGACCUGCAGGCCCAUGCACGAAGGAAGGCAGGCCAACGCAUGCACCAGGCCUACAGACAUGCGCCAAGCAUUCUUGCUAGAGAGGACUGCUUGGAGCUUAGACAGGAAGCUAGCGACCUUCUUGAGUAUUCUUGAGUAUUCUGUUGCUGCUACGACUGCAAGGCCGCCAACAAAUAGCAAGAUGGAAAAGUCAUCAAAGAUUGUGGUAAAAUGGGAUUCGUUUGCCGCGAAAACUUUCAAUGACAUUUGUGUGGAAGAAGUACUUGCUUUCAAUCGGCCGCAGCAAUGUUUGAAUGCGGUGGGAUAUGCAAACCUUAUUAGAAAGUUUUAUGAGCGUACCAGAGGCCAUACGGUGAGAGUCAAAUGAAGAAUAGGUGGGAUAUAUUGAAAAAAAUGUAUACCCAAUGGAAGACUUUGAACUUGAGAUCAACCGGAUUGGGAAAAGAUCCUGUUACUGGUUGUAUUGUGGCUGACGAUGAAUGGUGGGAAGAACAAAAUAAGGCUAUGCCAGGUUGUAUCCGGUUCAGAACAGCUCCGCUUGAAUAUGAGGAUCAGAUGCGAAUCAUGUUUGAAUCGGUCAUUGUUACAAAUGAAACUUCAUAUGUUCCAAGUGGUGAUGGAAACGUUGAUGUUGAUGAACAUGAUGUUGUUGAUGUUGAGGACACCAAUGAUAGGGAGGCACAUAAGGCCCCAUCCAGUUCUGAGCGGAGGGCUUCAAAAGGCCAGCUCCUAGUUCCCCUAAAGGAAAGAAGAAGAAGACUUUUAGGGACCAGUGCAUGAAGCGGUUGGUCGAUGCAUAUAAGUUGAAAGCUCAAAGUAGUAAACAUUCAGCUACUUCACAGGUUGUUGAUCACGUUAGAGAUGAGAUUGGAAAUAUGUUGGAGCAAGUCAUUAAGGAUGGGGCUGAGGAGGGGAGUGAUGAACACUUCUAUGCCACACAACUUCUUCAAAAAAAGGAGAACCGUGAUGUGUUCAUUACAUUGAAGACACCAAAUGGGAGGUUGAAUUGGCUGAGGAGGGCUUGGGAGAUAAGGAAGAAGCACUAGGGUGUUGCAUUAGUGUGCCAUUUAUCUUUCAUUUGUCUUAUGUUGUGUGAGACAUAAUUUCAAUUUUCUAAGUAUGCUGUGUGAGACUAUGAACCUUCUAUUAGUUGUGUUGUAACAAUAAAAAUUCAUCUGAUGACUUGGUUAGUGCUUUUUGACAGGCUUGCAUUUGUUUUGAUGAGUACCUCUAGUGCAACUAGUGAAUGUGAAGGCAACAGUGAUUCUGUUCAUACCAUGGAUGUUGAUGAAUCUGACGACACUGAUGAUGAUUACAUAGUGGCAAUGCUUGGUCUGGACUACAUGGCAUCAUCUGGUAUGAACAAGAAGAAGAUUACUACUACGAUAGCAAGGAUGACUGGAAUACAGUGGGUUGAGUUACAACUACAAGAUCCAGUGGAGUGCUUUAACAUGUUUAGAAUGAGGAGGUCAGUUUUCUUAAGCCUUCAUGACACUUUGGUUAUGAAGUAUGGAUUGAGAUCAAGUAGACAAUUUUGUAGCAAGGAAGCACUAGGAAUGUUUCUAUGGGCUUGUGGUGCACCUCAAUCUUUUAGGCAAUGCAAGAAUAAUUUCCAUCGCUCAUUAGAAACUGUGAGUAGAAAAUUUGAAGAGGUUCUUGAAUCUAUCAUGAGAUUAGCUGUUGACAUUGUGAGGCCUAAGGAUCCGCAAUUUUCUACUAUUCAUCCUAAACUACAAGAAGCAAGGUUUUGGCCUCAUUUCAAAGAUUGCAUAGGAGCAAUUGAUGGUACCCAUAUACCCGUAACUGUGCCAUUAGCUGAUCAACCGAAAUACAUUGGUCGGCAUGGGUAUCCUUCACAAAACGUCAUGGCGGUUUGUGACUUUGAUAUGCGGUUCACAUUUGCUGUCACUGGUUGGCCUGGUUCUGUCCAUGAUACUCGUGUAUUAUUGGACAUACUUGUCACAUAGAAGGAUCAAUUUCCACAUCCUCCCGAUGGUAAGUACUAUCUUGUUGACUCUGGAUAUCCUAAUAGAAAAGGAUUUCUUGCACCCUACAAGGGACAGAGGUAUCAUGUUUCCGAAUGGCAGCAUGGUCAGCAUCCGGUAGGAUUGAAAGAAGUGUUUAAUCAUGCACAUUCAUCCCUUAGAAAUGUGAUUGAGCGAUCAUUUGGAGUUCUAAAGAUGAAGUGGCGCAUUCUCUUAAAUUUGCCUAGUUAUCCGGUUAACAAGCAGUCGAAAAUUAUAGUUGCUUGUAUGGCCCUUCACAAUUUCAUCAGAGAUAGUGCCGUACAUGACGUGCAUUUUGAAGAGGAUUUUCAGGAAGAUGAUGCUAAUUCAACCCAACCUAGCACAGAUGGUGGUGGUGGUGCUUUAGGAGAUGACAUUGAUAUGGGUGCAUUGCGUGAUGCUAUUGCUGUCGCUAUGGUUUCAUGAUUCGUUGUUGUACCCAUGAUGGAUGUU